AGGGCGGUGAUGUUAAUGGCAGCAUGGUAGUCUCCAAAACUACUCGUGAGGGUUCGACUCCUUCCCGCCCUG
rfam:Microgenomates bacterium 39_7 MPI_scaffold_558, whole genome shotgun sequence.